CAAUGCUUCUACAACACCCCAACACAAGAUGCUAGUAUUAACAUGCCACAAAUGAAGAAUCAUCAUACCCCUAGCAGCAGCAUUUUUUAGCAUAACAGGAAAAGCAGCAGCGGCAACUUCAUGCUGGAGGAGAUUAUAUGCAGUAUUAAUGUGGGCCAUCCCAUGAAGCAAGACUUCUGGACAGUGCUUCAGAGGGUGCUCCAGGAUGGACCGCACAGAGCUUGCAUAACCUAUUUCAGCCAGCUGGCAAAGAACUUCGAGAAGGUCAAGACACAACCAUGCAUG
rnacentral:misc_RNA from 1 species